rnacentral:rRNA from 1 species
UUGCACGCUGGCGGCAUGCCUUACACAUGCAAGUCGAACGGCAUCGCGGGAAAGCUUGCUUUCCUGGCGGCGAGUGGCGAACGGGUGAGUAACACAUCGGAACGUACCGGCUAGUGGGGGAUAACCCGUCGAAAGACGGGCUAAUACCGCAUACGCUCUUCGGAGGAAAGCAGGGGACCUUUGGGCCUUGCGCUAGCCGAGCGGCCGAUGUCCGAUUAGCUAGUUGGUGGGGUAAAGGCCUACCAAGGCGACGAUCGGUAGCGGGUCUGAGAGGACGAUCCGCCACACUGGGACUGAGACACGGCCCAGACUCCUACGGGAGGCAGCAGUGGGGAAUCUUGGACAAUGGGGGCAACCCUGAUCCAGCAAUGCCGCGGGGGUGAAGAAGGCCUGCGGGUUGUAAAGCCCUUUCGGCAGGGAAGAAAUCGGCGGGGCGAAGAACCCUGCUGGAUGACGGUACCUGAAGAAGAAGCACCGGCUAACUACGU